AACCUCUCUGAGUCCAUCUGAGUCCAUGGGGACCCUAUGGUGGAGGAGGGGAAGGACUCCUUUCCUUGAGCAGCAGCAAAAACUACAUGGGUUGAAGUGACUAUAACUCCCGUUCCCUGUCUUCUUGUGCCACUAGGUGAGUAAGUAGAGCUGGGAAGGAGGGAAGGGUAUGCAGAAGGUGUUUUUAAGGUCUUAUUUUACUUCUCAUGAUCCUGCUCUGAUUUUGUUAGUAAUAAAUUCAAUUAAUAUCCCAAAUUUAGCCCAAUUUGCCCAUGACAGUAUUUGGUGAGUGAUCUCUCCCUGACCUUAUCUCAACCCAAGAACCCUACAUUCUGCUUUCUCUCCCAUCUAUUAUACCUUUAAGCUGAAAAAAUCUUCUAGAUUUCUCAUCAAAUGUCAUCAAGACAUUUUCUAUUGCCUUAUAGGACAUCUUCUCUACACAGAGACAACUGAGAUAGACUCUUCCACAAGGUCUCCUUAGAGAUGAUAGACCGGAACUAGUUCAACAGGAUGAGGAGGGAGUAAGAAAAUGUGCUGUUCAGUCCAUCUCAUCCCCUUAAGAUACAGAGUAGACGGCCUUUCCUUGCUACUGGGUGCAAUAUACAGAUCCAGAUUUCUGGCCCCUCAAAAGGAGACUGCAAAUGGGAUACAGAUUCAGCUUUUGGGGAAAACAUGCAAAGUGCGAGAUACUAAAAUAAAUUGUUGAACCCUCCUCUAAUUCAGAAGUAUUGCAAUGGAGAAGAAUCUUCAUGAGAAAAUGUUUUUAAGGUAAUGAGAGAAAUUAAAGAAGAAACACAGUUCCCUGUUUCCCCUGCGUCUUUCUUUUUGAUUACUUGAGCUGUGAAAUAAUUUUACAGUUUGGAGUCAAUUCCUAUAGAUUAAAGCAAAUUCUGCUUCUGCCUUGCCUAUUCUCCAAGGUUCAAAGGAUAAUAGGACACCAUUUUCCACUAUCCCAUUUGUAGCCCACAUCUACAGAUGAUCUCCUGUUGGGGAUGUGUGAGGAUCGGUACUAGAUGGAAGCUACUUGCAUUUUUUUUCAAUCUUCUGUCAGUAAAUAUUAAAUCUGUGACAAUUUCAAAUUUAAACAUUUAAGAGAUAAAAGUUCAACUAAACUAAAUCAGAGGCUUCUGUCUAGAAAACUGAAUACAUACAGCAGUUAUAGAAUCAGGCUCUGUUCCCAGAAAAAUAGUGACACAGGAAAAGAUAUGGGUUUAGACCUGAAAAGCAAUGUGACAGGAGACUACCAGAACAAUCCUAUAGGGAAAAUAAAGUCAAAGAGCAAAAAUGCUCCAUCCCCAGAAAUUACAGAAAGUAACAAGUAGGAUUAAAGAGGGAUUUACUCUGUACACAAGGUAGUGAGAGCCAGUACUAGAAUAUUGAGUCUAGCCAAAGUGUCUACAUUUCAAGGAAAGCAUUGAAAACAUAGUUCAAGUGCUAGAGAAAAAUGUUAUACCAUGGGACUUAACAGGUUUUCCUAAAGGACUGACUAGAUUGCAGCAUGUAAGUGAGAAGAAAAUGCCUGGUAGUAAAUAGUUCUUUAAUCUAGUGGAGAAAAACAUAAUGAGUGAGAAAGUAUAAACUAAAGCUAGGAGAAAAAAAAAUCUAAUCAAAUAACAUAUAAAAAGAAGAUCUGAGCAGUAAGAAAACCAAGAACAGUAGUAGAUUUUCUCUUCCUUGAUGCCUCAAAAGCAAGACUAUGUGCCUUCCUGGAUAAUUCUUUAGCAAAAUGCAAUUUAGUUAAAAGAUAAUCUUUUGGGAUCCAUCCCAGCCCAGCUCAAUAUGAAACCAGAAGAAACAAGAUAUAUUUUCUUAACUGGAAACUAAACACCCAGUUUUAGUGGGUGAACACCACAACAACCAGGUCUGAGUCAAAGGUCCUGUUUUGGUAACAACACAAAACAGUUAUCGCAUGUUUUAUCUCAAAAUUCCUGGAUGUUUUCUUACCUAAUAAUGAAAAAUAAUAAAUCUCUAAUGGGUUAAAUAAUCGAGACAUAUUCAAAGCUUUCUGGUUGUAGCAAACAUGAUGAAACACAACUGGUUUGAAUUUGUUGAUUUCAGAUUCUACCAAGCGGCAUCCACUGCAAUUAAGCAAGCUCAUUUGAAUGACUUGUCCAGCAUUGUUUCUAACUUGUGGUUGGGUAAAUCACUGAUAUCCAGUGUGUGAUAAUUCUUAACAACAUGCCCUCUGUUGAGUAAUGGGCAUAGAUCUGGUUACUCCAAAAACUUUCAUUGCACAUCCCGUUCUCUAUACUUCAGAUUCUCAUGCACCAGUGGAUCAUCAAACCAUUUUCUUAAGAGAUUUGCAAUACUUUCCUUUUUUGGCAACUGAUUCACCUCUAACAUUUAAUGUCUCUAACAAGUGGUCAUAAUUUCUUUCUAGCUUCAGCUUGUAUCAUGAAGAAAACAUAGAGAUGUGUAAUUUUAAAGCUAAAGGAAAUAAACAAACUGAAUAAGGAAGAUGCUCUAAAAUGUUCUCAUUUAUCACAUUCUAAAGUGUCCUGGUUUGAAGAGCAAAACCAGUGAGAGGCUCUAAGUCAGAAAUACAAUUUAUUAGGAAAAGAGAAUAAAGAACCAAAUAUAUACAAUAGCACAAAAUAAGAACCAUUGACAGAGUUAGAGAUACAACCUGAUACUUGCUGGCUAGGGCGGUGGUAGCAGAUAUGGUUCUGUCCAAGCAGUGGUCCUGUAGAUUGAUGUAGUUUCCCUCUGGAGGUCCGGUGUAGAGAAGGUCACAGCUGUUCCUCUUGGAAGAGGCGAUCUACUUGCUGUCUGCACAACACCGCUUAUAUCCUUGGUGGCAUUGUUUGGCUCCUCCCUCUGGGCGGAGCAUCUCACCAUAGAAUGCUGUGAUCUUAUCAGUCAUGUGGCUAAAAGAACAGGUCCUCCUGGAGGGACUUAUCUCUGAGUCACAAGAUAAGGAAACAAAAAAAGAAUUGCAGCUCGAGGUGGUAAUGGAAUACACCCCAAUAUUAUAACCUAGGACAUAAUGAAAAGUCAGUUAUCUGCCAGGGGAUGUGGUGUUUUAGCCUGAGGACUAUUCAGCUAUUCCUAUUGCAAUUUACAUGUUCCUUGAUCUGAUUACCGAGACAAAACUCAUGCAUUUGACUUUGAACAAGACUAUUGCUGUACUUUUCAUGGAAAACACUGGAGUUUUGUAACUGGAUUUUCAGCUUGCCUCUACUUGUACGAAACUCUCUUUUUAUAGCAGCACGUUGCCUGUUUUCUCUAAUCUCAGACAGAACUGGAAGUUCAACCACUCAGCCCACCUUCAAGAUGUGCCUAUGCUGUUCUAGUGCUCCUGACAAACCAGGCCAGCUGGCUAAUUAAUUAAGGAUGAGACACUUGGUGAUGUGCACCUGGAAAUCAUUAGACGCCUGGAGGUUACACGUUCAUGAGUCCUCCCUUGGAAUUUGGACAUUAUCUGUUGUGUUUGUUUCCUUGGCUAUCUGCUGGUAAAGUUCAAAGACAGUGAUCUGAGAAGGUGAAAAAUAAUUAUUUGCUUCUGGCCAGGUGCAAUUAGUUGUAUUUAUUUGUAAUAGAAAUGCAGAUUAAAAGUUGACUGGAAAUGAAAGUGAAUAGAGAGCCUGGGUCAUUGUGUGUGGUUAAAUUUAUUCUGUAAAAUAACUUCUGUGGAAAUUAAAGAAAUGUUAAUAAAA